ACGAUUUAUUUUGGCUAUUCGUAAAAUCUCCGCCUUAUGGAAUACCGCACCAAGCUUCAAGAGCAACCCUGCAACUACUAGUGAAGGUGCGACACGACAACACUAAUUUCUCGUUCUUCAACGCUCUCGAAAUUGAGAAAUCGAACAAAGACCAUCUUUUCUGCACCGUUCAAGCGAAUCGCACUUCAUUCGUUAGCUGCUGUCUUUCUGAGUGGUCGCCAUCGUGACAUCUAAAAUAGCACGUGAGAAAAUAGUUUGCUACAAAGGUGGUUUUGCUCUAGUAAGCUGCUCCUGAAACCACGGUGGUUCCAAAAUUAGAUACAACCUGUCUAAAACACCGGCAUGCUAUCGGCGAAGAUCCUAACAGAUCGAGCAGGUAAUCGCAGGACCAAGAGCUGCUAGAAUCAACCAUCUAUUCUGCCAUCUCCAGGAAAACCGCAAAGAAGACAGCAGCAACGAAGACACCACGCCACCCACUGCAAGCACGAGGGCUACCAUCAGCGAUCGACAAAGCACUCAAGGGCUCUCUACGGAGGGCCCUUUUGUUGAGAUCGUUCUCACAUCUCACCGUGUGCAAAGGAGCGCCACGAAACGGUAGCUCAUCAGCUUCACCAUCACGCACACACACUAUCAGCCACAUCAAAAAGUGCAUCUCACUCUUGGCACUCGCUAGCAGUCGGGUAGGCACGGUGCAUUCAAGUGCAUGAAGCUUGCCUCAAAAUAUCACGCACACUACAUCAAGCCACUUCGCACAGCAAGGUGAGCCGGGCGCGGCUAGGUCGGCCAGACGAGUGCAACCACAAGGAGGAAGAUCAUACGAAGUGUAAGUGAUACGAAAUAGUGACCAACAUCACCAGGGCCGCCGGCGCCCUGUCAGCCGUGUCGAAUAAUCGGUGUCGGCGUAUGCGAAGCAGUAUAUUCGAAGGUAAACAAACGUUCGUCGUGGGAAUCAAUGGAGAUCAUCGAUCAAUCGCCAGUCGGCGAUCUGAAGAAGCACAACCGUGCGUUCUGAAAGCUACGAACACCAUCAUCACCAGCAGUCACCGUUGCGAAUCCCGUUACCAGCAACACCACGACGGAGUCACAGUAUUGGUGGAAGCAAGAGUGGUGUGUCAACCGCUUAUGUAAGGUAGGGGUAGUAUAAGGCCUAUGUGUAUAGAAUAAUACAAACAUAAUGAUGCGUAUUUUUGUUAGUUGCUUCAUUCACACCUCCAUUGAGGGUGAGAUUGCAUGCGAGUAGAGUCAUUUGGGUCAUUUCACUACCGUAUCUUGAGGCUAAUUGAUACCGG